rnacentral:rRNA from 1 species
GACGAACGCUGGCGGCGUGCUUAACACAUGCAAGUCGAACGCUGAAGCCCUGGCUUUUGUUGGGUUGGAUGAGUGGCGAACGGGUGAGUAACACGUGAGUAACCUGCCCUCUUCUUUGGGAUAACGCCCGGAAACGGGUGCUAAUACUGGAUAUUCACUGAUCUUCGCAUGGGGGUUGGUGGAAAGGUUUGUUCUGGUGGGGGAUGGGCUCGCGGCCUAUCAGCUUGUUGGUGGGGUGAUGGCCUACCAAGGCUUUGACGGGUAGCCGGCCUGAGAGGGUGACCGGUCACAUUGGGACUGAGAUACGGCCCAGACUCCUACGGGAGGCAGCAGUGGGGAAUAGUGCACAAUGGGCGAAAGCCUGAUGCAGCGACGCCGCGUGAGGGAUGGAGGCCUUCGGGUUGUAAACCUCUUUCGCUCAUGGUCAAGCCGCAACUGUGGGUUGUGGUGAGGGUAGUGGGUAAAGAAGCGCCGGCUAACUACGUG